rnacentral:rRNA from 1 species
ACGGGAGGCAGCAGUGAGGAAUAUUGGUCAAUGGGCGGAAGCCUGAACCAGCCAAGUCGCGUGAAGGAUGAAGGUAUUAUGUAUUGUAAACUUCUUUAGCAGUGGAGUAAUAAGGGGAUCGUGAUCCCUGAUGCAAGUACACUGAAAAUAAGGAUCGGCUAACUCCGUGCCAGCAGCCGCGGUAAUACGGAGGAUCCGAGUGUUAUCCGGAUUUAUUGGGUUUAAAGGGUGCGCAGGCGGUGGAUCAAGUCAGUGGUGAAAUGGUGCGGCUCAACCGUAGCAUUGCCGUUGAAACUGGUUCACUUGAGUGCGGACGAGGCAGGCGGAAUGUGUUGUGUAGCGGUGAAAUGCAUAGAUAUGACACAGAACACCGAUUGCGAAGGCAGCCUGCCAGGCCGCAACUGACGCUGAGGCACGAAAGUGCGGGGAUCGAACAGGAUUAGAUACCCUGGUA